GGGGACGUUACGGAUUCGACAGGGAUAGAUCGAGCUCAGGCUGCGUGUCGAGGUUACGUCUCGUAAAACGUUAUUCGCCUAAAUAUAACUGGCAAAGAAAACAACUACUCUUUAGCAGCUGCGUAAGUAGCACUAAAGGAUCCUUCCUGCCAUCGCCCGUGUGGUAGAUGAAGGGUCUCAAAUGAAGCGGGCUACGCUGUCAUCCACCGUCUGAGGAUGCCAGAAGAGACUAAUCAGACUAGCUCCUCGAAAGCCUGUUGGUAGGCUGUAGAGGUAGUGAAUGAUAAUAUACCAACUACGCUCGUAGAUGCCUGAGUGACGAUAUCUCUGGACGUGGGUUCGAUUCCCACCGUCUCCACCA
rnacentral:tmRNA from 1 species